AUUAAUUCACUAUCCCAAGAACGCUCAGACCUGUCCGUUUCGAAGUGAGCUGAUGACGGAGUUAGAGAAGAGAGAGCUGCAGACUGCAGAGAUCACGUGAGGAGAGACUGGAGGACUGGAUUGGGGGAUGGAGGACUGGUGCUGUCAGCCAGAUGGGACUGAUUGUUAUUGUGUUCUCCAUGGGCUGCAGUGUGUGUAGCCUCAGUCUAUUUGUGAGCAGCACUACACAUGAUUUAAACUAG
rnacentral:lncRNA from 1 species